UACGGGGGGUGCAAGCGUUGUCCGGAAUGAUUGGGCGUAAAGCAUCUGUAGGUGGUUUUUAAAGUCGACUGUUAAAGCCCAGGGCUCAACUUUGGAUAAGCGGUCGAGUACUUAGAGACUUGAGUAUGGUAGGGGUAGAGGGAAUUCCUAGUGGAGCGGUGAAAUGCACAGAGAUUAGGAAGAACACCGAGGGCGAAAGCACUCUACUGGGCCAUGACUGACACUGAGAGAUGAAAGUUGGGGGAGCGAAAAGG
rnacentral:rRNA from 1 species